UGAAUACGAGACGCUAAGGCGUCGAAGUAGUGUAUGUCAUACUUCCAAGAAAAGCUUGCACUGUCAUAGAUAAAAAACGCCUGUACCAUAACCGACACAGGUGGGUAGGUAGAGUAUACUAAGGGGCGCGAGAUAACUCUCUCUAAGGAACUCGGCAAAAUAACUCCGUAACUUCGGGAGAAGGAGUGCCUUAUUCAUAAGGUUGCAAUAACAAGAUCCAAGCAACUGUUUAUCAAAAACACAGGUCUCCGCUAAGUCGUAAGACGAUGUAUGGGGGCUGACGCCUGCCCAGUGCCAGAAGGUUAAAGAAGUUGGUUAGCAAUUGCGAAGCUGAUAACUGAAGCCCUGGUGAACGGCGGCCGUAACAAUAACGGUCCUAAGGUAGCGAAAUUCCUUGUCGGGUAAGUUCCGACCCGCACGAAAGGCGUAAUGAUUUGGAUACUGUCUCGGAGAGGGGCUCGGUGAAAUAGACUUGUCUGUGAAGAUGCGGACUACCUGCACCAGGACAGAAAGACCCUAUGAAGCUUUACUGUAACUUGAAAUUGAAAUUGGACUUUAUUCGCGCAGUAUAGGUGGGAGGCGUUGAUUAUAAUCUUGUGGGAUUAUUGGAGCCAUCAGUGAGAUACCACUCUUGUAAUGUUAGAUUUCUAACUUUGAAUCAUUAUCUGGUCAAAGAACAGUUUCAGGCGGGCAGUUUGACUGGGGCGGUCGCCUCCUAAACGGUAACGGAGGCGUACAAAGGUUUCCUCUGAACGGUUAGAAAUCGUAUCUAGAGUGUAAAGGCAUAAGGAAGCUUGACUGUGAGACCUACAAGUCGAGCAGGGACGAAAGUCGGUCUUAGUGAUCUGACGGUACUGAGUGGAAAGGCCGUCACUCAACGGAUAAAAGUUACUCUAGGAUAACAGGCUGAUCUCCCCCAAGAGUUCACAUCGACGGGGAGGUUUGGCACCUCGAUGUCGGCUCAUCGCAUCCUGGGGCGGUAGUACGUCCCAAGGGUUGGGCUGUUCGCCCAUGAAAGCGGUACGCGAGCUGGGUUCAGAACGUCGUGAGACAGUUCGGUCCAUAUCCGGUGUAGGCGUUAGAAUAUUGAGAGGAGCCUUCUUUAGUACGAGAGGACCGAGAAGGACAUACCUCUGGUGUACCAGUUAUCGUGCCAACGGUAAACGCUGGGUAGCUAUGUAUGGAGUGGAUAACCGCUGAAAGCAUCUAAGUGGGAAGCCCACCUCAAGAUAAGUAUUCUCAGC
rnacentral:rRNA from 1 species